rnacentral:rRNA from 1 species
UACGGGGGGGGCAAGCGUUGUUCGGAAUUACUGGGCGUAAAGGGCUCGUAGGCGGCCAACUAAGUCAGACGUGAAAUCCCUCGGCUUAACCGGGGAACUGCGUCUGAUACUGGAUGGCUUGAAUCCGGGAGAGGGAUGCGGAAUUCCAGGUGUAGCGGUGAAAUGCGUAGAUAUCAGGAGGAACACCUAUUGCGAAGGCAGCUCGCUGGGACGUUACUGACGCUGGAGACGCGAAAGCGUGGGGAGCGAACAGG